CCUACGGGAGGCAGCAGUGAGGAAUAUUGCUCAAUGGGCGCGAGCCUGAACCAGCCAAGUCGCGUGAAGGAUGAAUGCCCUACGGAUUGUAAACUUCUUUUAUAAAGGAAUAAAGUGAGUCACGUGUGCAUUUUUGUAUUGACUUUAUGAGUAAGGAUCGGCUAACUCCGUGCCAGCAGCCGCGGUAAUACGGAGGAUACGAGCGGUAUCCGGAUUUAUUGGGUUUAAAGGGAGCGUAGAGGGGUUGUUAAGUCAGUUGUGAAAGUUUGAGGCUCAACCGUAAAAUUGCAAUUGAUACUGGCAAACUUGAGUACAGGUGAGGUAAGUGGAAUUCGUGGUGUAGCGGUGAAAUGCGUAGAUAUCACGAAGAACUCCGAUGGCGAAGGCAGCUUACUAACAUGUCACUGACAUUGAUGCGCGAAAGUGUGGGUAGCAAACAGGAUUAGAUACCCCAGUAGUC
rnacentral:rRNA from 1 species